rnacentral:rRNA from 1 species
UGAGCAACCUGCCCUUCUCAUCGGGAUAAGCGUUUGGGAAAACGACGUCUAAAUGCCGAAUACGACCUCCUUUCGCAUGAUCGGAGGUGGAAAAGCUCCCGGCGGAGAAGGAUGAGCUCGCGGCCUAUCAGCUAGUUGGUGUGGGUAAUGGCCCACCAAGGCGACGACGGGUAGCCGGCCUGAGAGGGCGACCGGCCACACUGGGACUGAGACACGGCCCAGACUCCGUACGGGAGGNAG